CUCCAUAUGCAGGGAGUCGAACCUCUGCAGCCUCCUUGGCGGCGACGGCGGCACCUUCACCGAUGCAAACGCAGAGCCCGCAGCACCCCCUUCGGCAGCUCCAUUGCCGUUUGCCUUCAGAGGCUCAGCCAUCGUCAAGGCACACACCGGGUGGGCCCAGGCAUGACAACAGGUUCGUUACUUUUCUUUGCAAUCGCGUGUGAUACUGUGAUCCGAACUUGUCUGUGGUGCUGGGGUAUGAACGUGGGAUCCUCGUGCUGCAACCAACAGACUUCUCACUGAAUGCUGGUGAAGUCAAAUAUUGUUAUCGUUCGCUUUAGUCGGUCUCACCGGAGCCGUCUUUCUACGGCGCAGUUGGGAAUCUUGUGAUCUUGAACAGUAAGCUAACCAGGGAAGGUGGCUACGGGGGAUGGCACGGUGACUUUUCUGCACGAGCUUCUCUUGUCACCUGUGACUUGUGAGCGAGAGACGUCUCAACCAGAAGCCAGCCACGCGUGUCAGUCAUCUCGCCAUCAGACCCGUCAAGGGCUUUGAACAGUGUGUAACAGACGGCCCAAAUCGGCAGCCAAAACGAUUGACCGCCGGUGCCGUGCGUCCGACUCGAGCAGCCAUUCUAGGCGAGCGGAAGAUGACAAGGCAACAGCAGGCCCGCCCGGUGGUUUCAACUACCUUUCAUGCGAUGCGAUUCUCCCAAGGCGGAAGGCGGGCUUGACCGGAUGCACUGACUGACCAUGUAUCAUGUACGCAUGCUUUCUCGCGCACGCAGGAUCUUCCCGGAGAACGGUCGUCCUUGAUGGUGGCAUCAAGUGAUAGGCCACUUGCCUCACCAAAGCGGCCUAGCUCUUUUGACCGCAUGCAUGCACAUGCGCGUGAUCUGAUCACAUCACAGAGGUACUCUCUUUAUCGAUUGUCACUCGGCUUUGGCCGCUUCUCCUCCUGCCAAAACUUUCCAGGCUUAGUCUCUAGUGCGUGUCACGCGGGCGGUAGAUUAGAGGGAGCAAGUAAACGCCGCAACAUCACUGCUGCUGCUAUGUUCCACUGCCGCUCUGCCAGCGUAGCUAGUAUGUACUAGGUUUUAGUGGUUCAUUGGGAUGGUAAUCAAGUGUACGCGUGAAUCUUUCACUUCGAUAUUUCAGUGGUAAAUACAUCGUUUUUCAAUUUGCUUUUGUAAGGAUUGUUUGGCGGUUUCUUGAAUGAAAACAGAUGAGGGGGGCGCUGGCUGUUUCGAUACAAAAUUCAACAAGUAAAAAUCUUUCUCUUGCUGAA